rnacentral:sRNA from 1 species
AGGUGCGAUCAUACCAGCACUAAUGCACCGGAUCCCAUCAGAACUCCGCAGUUAAGCGUGCUUGGGCGAGAGUAGUACUAGGAUGGGUGACCUCCUGGGAAGUCCUCGUGUUGCACCUUUUUUUUUCACGGGAGGUAGCAUUAACGGACUCG